rnacentral:rRNA from 1 species
GUCUUCAGCCAUACCACCCUGAACAUGCCUGAUCUCAUCUGAUCUCAGAAGCUAAGCAGGAUCAGGCCUGGUUAGUACUUGGAUGGGAGAAUUAUUGUGUUUCUUUGGAGUUCCUCAGUGGCUCAGGCUU